UACGAAGGGUGCAAGCGUUACUCGGAAUCACUGGGCGUAAAGCGUGCGUAGGCGGUUUCUUAAGUCUGUCGUGAAAUCUCCCGGCUUAACUGGGAGGGUGCGGUGGAAACUGGGGUGCUUGAGUGUGGGAGAGGUAAGCGGAAUUCCUGGUGUAGCGGUGAAAUGCGUAGAUAUCAGGAGGAACACCGGUGGUGUAGACGGCUUACUGGACCACGACUGACACUGAGGCACGAAAGCGUGGGUAGCAAACAGG
rnacentral:rRNA from 1 species